GUGCUUGCUUCGGCAGCACGUACACUAAAAACGGAAUGAUACAGAGAAGAUUAGCAUGGCCCCUGCACAAGGAUGACAUGCAAAUUUGUGAAGCAUUCCAUAUUUUU
rnacentral:snRNA from 1 species